UAAAUUGUAAAAUGUAAAAAUUAAAGUAGUAAUAGUUAUAUUCUUGAAACUUAAAGAAUUUGGCGGUAUUUUAUUCUAUUUAGAGGAAUUUGUUCUAUAAUCGAUAAUCCCCGUUAAAUCUUACUUAAAUUAAAAAAAAUUUGUAUAUCGUUGUCAUUAGAAUAUUUUUGAAAAAUUAAUAAUUUUCUAAAAUUAAUAUUAUAAAUUAUGUCAAAUCAAGGUGCAGUUUAUAUUUAAGAAAGUAAUGAAUUACAUUAAUUUUAAUUAAACGGAAAUUAAUUUGAAAUAUUUAAUUGAAGGUGGAUUUAAUUGUAAAAUAUUUUUAUUAAAAAUAUUUGAUAUUAGUUUUAAAAUAUGU
rnacentral:rRNA from 1 species